CCAGACUCCUACGGGAGGCAGCAGUCGAGAAUCAUUCACAAUGGGGGAAACCCUGAUGCAGCGACGCCGCGUGGGUGAAGAAGCGCCUCGGCGCGUAAAGCCCUGUCAGCAGGGAAGAAAAUGACGGUACCUGAAGAAGAAGCCCCGGCUGACUACGUGCCAGCAGCCGCGGUAAUACGUAGGGGGCAAGCGUUAUCCGGAUUUACUGGGUGUAAAGGGAGCGUAGACGGCAGCACAAGUCUGGAGUGAAAUCCCGGGGCUUAACCCCGGAACUGCUUUGGAAACUGUGCGGCUGGAGUGCAGGAGGGGUAAGCGGAAUUCCUAGUGUAGCGGUGAAAUGCGUAGAUAUUAGGAGGAACACCGGUGGCGAAGGCGGCUUACUGGACUGUAACUGACGUUGAGGCUCGAAAGCGUGGGGAGCAAACAGGAUUAGAUACCCUUGUA
rnacentral:rRNA from 1 species